AAAUUUUGCGGUCGUAGAUUGGUAUCACGUCGUCGUCAGCGUCGUCCGAAGACGGAUGGUUUCCGGAUAAUAACUUUAGUAUAAGUAAAUAGAAAUCAAUUAAAUUUUAACACAAUGUUUAUAACCACAAAAGGAAGGUUGGGAUUGAUUUUGGGGGUUAUGGUCCCAUCGGUUUAGGAAUUAGGGGCCCAAAGGGGCCAAAACAUACAUUUAUCUAGUUUCAGGACAAUAAGUUGUGUAUGAGUAUUUCAAUUACUCUGAAAUUGUACCACAAUGUUCAUACCAUUAAGUUGAAGGUUGGGAUUUAUUUUAAGGGUUAUGGGGCAAACAGUCUAGGAAUUAAGGGCAAAAAAGGGGCCAAAAACAAGCAUUUUUGAAGUUUCGGGACAAUAACUUAUGUUUAACUGUAUGGAUCUCUCUGACAUUGUACCACAAGGUUCCAUAUAAUAAAGGGAAGGCUUGGUGUCAGUUUAGGGUUAUUAUCCCUGAAUAUUUGGGAAUAAAGGGCCCAAAAAAAAACAUUUUUCUAGUUUACAGGUAUGGAUCUCUCUGAAAAUAAUUACAAGGUUUCUUACUACAAAGUAAAGGCUGGAAUUGAGUUUUUGGGGUUCUUGCUCCAAGGAGGGUUUCAACACGUGAGGGGCCAAAAAAGGGGCCCAAAUAAGCAUUUUUGUAGUUUUCAGUCAAUAACUUGUGUUUAAGUGUAUAAAUCUCUCUGAAAUUAUACCACAAGUUUCCAUACUACAACGGGAUGGUUAUAGGGGGUAAUGGAUCAAAUCGUUAAGCAAUUAGGGGCAAAAAAGGGGGGGACAAGGGUUUUUCUGGAUAAAGGACAAUUAAUACCAUUUAAAAGCAGUGUAAGGGAGGUAAUUCAAUUCCAAUUAAAAUUUAAAGAAUACUGUUAUAUAUAUGUUUGAAUACUUGAUUACCUCCCUG
rnacentral:lncRNA from 1 species